GCCUACGGCCACACCACCCUGAACACGCCCGAUCUCGUCUGAUCUCGGAAGCCAAGCAGGGUCGGGCUCGGACAGUACUGGGAUGGUUGACCUCCUGGGAAUACCGGGUGCUGUAGACA